UACGGAGGGUGCAAGCGUUGUUCGGAAUCACUGGGCGUAAAGGGAGCGCAGGCUGUUUUGCAAGUCAGAUGUGAAAGCCCACGGCUUAACCGUGGAAGUGCAUUUGAAACUGCAAGACUUGAGUAUCAGAGGGGAAAGUGGAAUUCCCGGUGUAGAGGUGAAAUUCGUAGAUAUCGGGAGGAAUACCGGUGGCGAAGGCGACUUUCUGGCUGAAUACUGACGCUGAGGCUCGAAAGCGUGGGGAGCAAACAGG
rnacentral:rRNA from 1 species